rnacentral:rRNA from 1 species
GACGUAGGGCGCGAGCGUUGUCCGGAUUUAUUGGGCGUAAAGAGCUCGUAGGCGGUUUGUCGCGUCUGCUGUGAAAACUGGGGGCUCAACCCCCCAGCCUGCAGUGGGUACGGGCAGACUAGAGUGCGGUAGGGGAGAUUGGAAUUCCUGGUGUAGCGGUGGAAUGCGCAGAUAUCAGGAGGAACACCGAUGGCGAAGGCAGAUCUCUGGGCCGUAACUGACGCUGAGGAGCGAAAGCAUGGGGAGCGAACAGG